AGUUGGGUAGGUGGUCGAUGAAUGUGUGUCCGCAUCUAUGACCAAAUAGUGUUGCAGCUAAGCGUCUGAUGGCUGAGGUAUGCCAAUCAUGAAACACGUCUCUAAAGAAGAGAUUCAAGUGUGAAAAAUUAUUGUCAAAAGUCUCGUUAGAAAUUUCAAGAUUUGUUUGAAUCUUCGUUUGUUUGUUCUUGCGUGACGAAGAAAAUUAAAUUAUCUCCUGCAUAUAAGUGUGAACAUUUUAAGAAGAGGAAUUAUUCUGUCAACCAGAUUUUCUAACUAAACUGGCGUAGAGACUUGAUUUCAUCAAGUGAUAAUAUAUAGAGUAUUCCUUCAAGCUUCAACGACCACACACCAAAUGUCUCCCAGUAGGGGAGUUGCAUUACAACAGCCUUCGACGAUCUUCGGAGCUCGACCGGGAAGUUUCAUGUGGCCUGGUACCUCCUAAGGCUAAAAGUUCGCGCAACUUAUGAAAAACUUAUAAUGACCUGGAGUAGAUGACCAAAAUUUUCCGAUCGAUGAAAUGUAAAAUUUUGAUUCGAAUCUUUGUUUGAAAUGCUGUGUGUUGUACAACGCAUCGUUCGCGUCGAAGGAAAUCACCCAAUCCCAGCUUACGGUCUUUGUCCGUUACUUCAUAAUAUUAUUUUUAAUAUUUGUAAGAAAUUGAAACCUUCGGCCUUGUUUCUAUAUGCACUAUUCGUCGUAAUCAUAAGAGUUGUUUGUAGUUUUAUCUAUAACCAUUUACCUAAAAACUUUGCACGUGUUCGUUCGAGCGCAUACCGGGCUGUUGAGAGCACUUCAUUUCUCACCGGACUGCACCUCCCUCGCCUCCAACAAGUAUCCUGCAAUUGUCAGGUAGCACAAACGUCUCAACAGCUUCAGGAUAUAAUCAUGUAAACUACUUUGCAACGCUUGAACUACGUAUUGGUGUUUUCUACUCGCCUAAUUUGUCUGCCAAACAUCUGUUACGAAAUAAAUGGCGCUGAUGAAGUACAUAUAUUGGAGUUAACCUAACUUCUCACGGUGCCGAGCUUCAAUCGCGUAGGGCCGCUGCCAGAAGGGCGAUCUGUGGAGGGGCGAGGAGCUUCCAUGGUUGGCGCUGCUACGAGAGUUGGGCCUGUAACUGCCAACGGUUCAGCUUUCCCCAGCAACGGUUUCGCUGCCCUCGGACCUUCUCAACUACAAGACUCGCCCCUCCAUGACGGCGCUGGUGAAGAAAGGAGAUUAUCGAGGCGGCGGGAAGUGCACUAUUUAUGCUACAAUAUCACCACGAGACGGGCUGCUGGCGCUGUCAGCAUCUUCACUA